GCCCCCUAGAGGCAUUGCAGGUUUAGCAACAGUGUUCCAGGUGAAUUAGCAGGUGGCAGAGAGGAGACAGGUUAUGUAAUGCUCAGUAUCCUGACGUAUGAACCUCUGAAUGAUUAGUAGCCUAAUAUC